UCUCUUCCACCUCAACGAGACGACAUAGAGAGGAGAGCAGAUCCCUACCACAUUCCCUACCCUGACUCCUCCUGAAAGGGACUCUGGCUUCACAUUUUGUCAUAGUCUCCAGAAGAGCAGCUCCUUUCUCCUAGAUGAAAACACAUAUGGGAAAGACAAGGAAACACCAGCAUAGACCCAAAGGAAUGACAAUGACGCUACAAUUAUUCCCUAUGGUGGAAUCUGCAGCUGAGUUGCCACCCAUGAGGCCAUUGCCAGGAAGCUACCAGGCAGCUGCUGAGACCAGAU
rnacentral:lncRNA from 1 species